GACGAACGCUGGCGGCGUGCUUAACACAUGCAAGUCGAGCGGUAAGGCCCUUUCGGGGGUACGACGAGCGGCGAACGGGUGAGUAACACGUGGGUGACCUGCCCUCAGCUCUGGGAUAAGCCUGGGAAACCGGGUCUAAUACUGGAUAUGACUCCAUGACGCAUGUUGUGGGGUGGAAAGCCUUGUGCGGCUGAGGAUGGGCCCGCGGCCUAUCAGCUUGUUGGUGGGGUGAGGCCUACCAAGGCGACGACGGGUAGCCGGCCUGAGAGGGCGACCGGCCACACUGGGACUGAGACACGGCCCAGACUCCUACGGGAGGCAGCAGUGGGGAAUCUUGCGCAAUGGGCGAAAGCCUGACGCAGCGACGCCGCGUGAGGGAUGACGGCCUGGUU
rnacentral:rRNA from 1 species